AGAAAAUACCACAGUAAGAAAAUCACAGAACUAAAAGUAAUAAGAGUGCUUAUUGAAACAAAGACUUAAAAAUACCAAAGAACCCAAAUCUCUAAAAUAUCCUCAAAAUUUUUUUCCAACAUUGAAGAAAUAGAAGCUAAACCAAAUCCUUAAGAGUGCCAUUGAAAGUAACAAGAAUUUGAAAUAAAGACCCAAAAUCUACUCAAAAUUGCUUAUGUGAACAAUACCAUGAACAUUACGCCCGUCAACCAAAAUGGUUGCCUCUUGAAACUUGAAAUUUUCACCCUGAAACCUUGAAUUGACUUAGCGGCAAUACCGGAAACUUUGACACUUGAAUUGAACUAGGCCAGACCUACUCCGAUACCAUGUUAAGAUUUUUGGAAUGAGAAGAAA
rnacentral:misc_RNA from 1 species